UGCUUAUCUUCCUGCCUUGGAAAAUGUUAUUCUUUAAUUUACUGUUCUUCCACCCUAUACCUUCUUCCCCCUUUGCCAUCUGCAGUACCAAAAAAUCUAGAAAAGGCUUCUAAUGAUUUAAACCGCUUUAAAGAAUUCAGAACAAAUGUGUCACUUGCCCCUUUUGGGGUGUUCUGUUUUCAUUGUAGAGUUUCAAAUGUC